GAUGAACGCUGGCGGCGUGCCUAAUACAUGCAAGUCGAGCGAACAGACGAGGAGCUUGCUCCUCUGACGUUAGCGGCGGACGGGUGAGUAACACGUGGAUAACCUACCUAUAAGACUGGGAUAACUUCGGGAAACCGGAGCUAAUACCGGAUAAUAUAUUGAACCGCAUGGUUCAAUAGUUAAAGACGGUUUUGCUGUCACUUAUAGAUGGAUCCGCGCCGCAUUAGCUAGUUGGUAAGGUAACGGCUUACCAAGGCGACGAUGCGUAGCCGACCUGAGAGGGUGAUCGGCCACACUGGAACUGAGACACGGUCCAGACUCCUACGGGAGGCAGCAGUAGGGAAUCUUCCGCAAUGGGCGAAAGCCUGACGGAGCAACGCCGCGUGAGUGAUGAAGGUCUUCGGAUCGUAAAACUCUUUUAUUAGGGAAGAACAAAUGUGUAAGUAACUAUGCACGUCUUGACGGUACCUAAUCAGAAAGCCACGGCUAACUACGUG
rnacentral:rRNA from 1 species